rnacentral:rRNA from 2 species
CUGUGAGCUCGAUGAGUAGGGCGGGACACGUGGUAUCCUGUCUGAAUAUGGGGGGACCAUCCUCCAAGGCUAAAUACUCCUGACUGACCGAUAGUGAACCAGUACCGUGAGGGAAAGGCGAAAAGAACCCCGGCGAGGGGAGUGAAAAAGAACCUGAAACCGUGUACGUACAAGCAGUGGGAGCACAGAGCAAUCUGUGUGACUGCGUACCUUUUGUAUAAUGGGUCAGCGACUUAUAUUCUGUAGCAAGGUUAACCGAAUAGGGGAGCCGAAGGGAAACCGAGUCUUAACUGGGCGUUAAGUUGCAGGGUAUAGACCCGAAACCCGGUGAUCUAGCCAUGGGCAGGUUGAAGGUUGGGUAACACUAACUGGAGGACCGAACCGACUAAUGUUGAAAAAUUAGCGGAUGACUUGUGGCUGGGGGUGAAAGGCCAAUCAAACCGGGAGAUAGCUGGUUCUCCCCGAAAGCUAUUUAGGUAGCGCCUCGUGAAUUCAUCUCCGGGGGUAGAGCACUGUUUCGGCAAGGGGGUCAUCCCGACUUACCAACCCGAUGCAAACUGCGAAUACCGGAGAAUGUUAUCACGGGAGACACACGGCGGGUGCUAACGUCCGUCGUGAAGAGGGAAACAACCCAGACCGCCAGCUAAGGUCCCAAAGUCAUGGUUAAGUGGGAAACGAUGUGGGAAGGCCCAGACAGCCAGGAUGUUGGCUUAGAAGCAGCCAUCAUUUAAAGAAAGCGUAAUAGCUCACUGGUCGAGUCGGCCUGCGCGGAAGAUGUAACGGGGCUAAACCAUGCACCGAAGCUGCGGCAGCGACGCUUAUGCGUUGUUGGGUAGGGGAGCGUUCUGUAAGCCUGCGAAGGUGUGCUGUGAGGCAUGCUGGAGGUAUCAGAAGUGCGAAUGCUGACAUAAGUAACGAUAAAGCGGGUGAAAAGCCCGCUCGCCGGAAGACCAAGGGUUCCUGUCCAACGUUAAUCGGGGCAGGGUGAGUCGACCCCUAAGGCGAGGCCGAAAGGCGUAGUCGAUGGGAAACAGGUUAAUAUUCCUGUACUUGGUGUUACUGCGAAGGGGGGACGGAGAAGGCUAUGUUGGCCGGGCGACGGUUGUCCCGGUUUAAGCGUGUAGGCUGGUUUUCCAGGCAAAUCCGGAAAAUCAAGGCUGAGGCGUGAUGACGAGGCACUACGGUGCUGAAGCAACAAAUGCCCUGCUUCCAGGAAAAGCCUCUAAGCAUCAGGUAACAUCAAAUCGUACCCCAAACCGACACAGGUGGUCAGGUAGAGAAUACCAAGGCGCUUGAGAGAACUCGGGUGAAGGAACUAGGCAAAAUGGUGCCGUAACUUCGGGAGAAGGCACGCUGAUAUGUAGGUGAAGUCCCUCGCGGAUGGAGCUGAAAUCAGUCGAAGAUACCAGCUGGCUGCAACUGUUUAUUAAAAACACAGCACUGUGCAAACACGAAAGUGGACGUAUACGGUGUGACGCCUGCCCGGUGCCGGAAGGUUAAUUGAUGGGGUCAGCGCAAGCGAAGCUCUUGAUCGAAGCCCCGGUAAACGGCGGCCGUAACUAUAACGGUCCUAAGGUAGCGAAAUUCCUUGUCGGGUAAGUUCCGACCUGCACGAAUGGCGUAAUGAUGGCCAGGCUGUCUCCACCCGAGACUCAGUGAAAUUGAACUCGCUGUGAAGAUGCAGUGUACCCGCGGCAAGACGGAAAGACCCCGUGAACCUUUACUAUAGCUUGACACUGAACAUUGAGCCUUGAUGUGUAGGAUAGGUGGGAGGCUUUGAAGUGUGGACGCCAGUCUGCAUGGAGCCGACCUUGAAAUACCACCCUUUAAUGUUUGAUGUUCUAACGUUGACCCGUGAUCCGGGUUGCGGACAGUGUCUGGUGGGUAGUUUGACUGGGGCGGUCUCCUCCUAAAGAGUAACGGAGGAGCACGAAGGUUGGCUAAUCCUGGUCGGACAUCAGGAGGUUAGUGCAAUGGCAUAAGCCAGCUUGACUGCGAGCGUGACGGCGCGAGCAGGUGCGAAAGCAGGUCAUAGUGAUCCGGUGGUUCUGAAUGGAAGGGCCAUCGCUCAACGGAUAAAAGGUACUCCGGGGAUAACAGGCUGAUACCGCCCAAGAGUUCAUAUCGACGGCGGUGUUUGGCACCUCGAUGUCGGCUCAUCACAUCCUGGGGCUGAAGUAGGUCCCAAGGGUAUGGCUGUUCGCCAUUUAAAGUGGUACGCGAGCUGGGUUUAGAACGUCGUGAGACAGUUCGGUCCCUAUCUGCCGUGGGCGCUGGAGAACUGAGGGGGGCUGCUCCUAGUACGAGAGGACCGGAGUGGACGCAUCACUGGUGUUCGGGUUGUCAUGCCAAUGGCACUGCCCGGUAGCUAAAUGCGGAAGAGAUAAGUGCUGAAAGCAUCUAAGCACGAAACUUGCCCCGAGAUGAGUUCUCCCUGACCCUUUAAGGGUCCUGAAGGAACGUUGAAGACGACGACGUUGAUAGGCCGGGUGUGUAAGCGCAGCGAUGCGUUGAGCUAACCGGUACUAAUGAACCGUGAGGCUUAACCUU